GCUAACUAAUCUGCAGCCUCGACACCUUAGAAUAUCAUCAUCUAACGACUGACAACACGCCUGAUAGCUUGCACCUAGUGCUCCUUUGAACAUCAACAUCUCUGAACCCUAGAACAGGACACUGGUAGAGAAUCGUGCAGAUCGAUGAGACAGACUUCCAUGCAUCGCCUUUGAUGCCAGGCACGAAUCGAGGAGAUGGUGCAGCAACUCUGUCGUUAUCCCAGAACGAUGCAUGAUUGUCUGGAUGGUCCUCCUCUUAUCUUGAUGGGACAUGCAAUCUGAAAGAAGAGAUGCAUAGACGAUCACGCUUAGGAUGCAUGCUCGCUUAUGUGCUACAUAUAUCACAGCAAGCAUAUUGGGAAAAACUGGGAGUCAGCCGAUGCAUACCUCCACACAGAACAUUCAUGGGUACGUGUGUGCUUGCAAGCUGCUUAUAUAUAAACUGAAAGACGAUGGAGAUUGCUUGCGAGCUGCACAUGUUACGACAGUGAGUAAUUGAUAGAGAAGUCAGCAAUCGACCAGCGCCGCUGAUCGAGAUCGAAGUUUGGCGUAGACUGCGUAGGCGGCGCACUCUUACCGUGAAGUUUCCUAUGGCAGUGCCUUUGCCAUCGCCAGAAGUUCAAACUUCAAAGAUGGAGUCGAUUGAGCGAGCCUUUUACCGGCUCGGAAGAAGAUGGCGCCGCUACUCAGUGUACCGAUUGAGCGAGCCUUUUACCGGCUCAGAAGAAGAUGGUGUCGCGACUCAGUGUACUGGAACGUCUACUAAUUCAAGGGAAUUGAAGUGGGUCGGCAUUCUCUCUUCGCCGGCGAUCACACCAUAGAUCAAAUCAGCGCUAUUACCAUGACACGCUCCCUCGUCAGGAUCUUUGAGGGGAAAACGAUAGCGCGGUUAGAGGCGGCACUUGUAGCGAUCUGGCAUCUCGCAUGCAUAUGGAGCGAGGCUGACUCAUAUCCGCUGCUUGUGGGACUUUGGGGAGGUGAGAUGAGAGGCGGCAGGUGCAUGGAAGAGGACGUGAUGUUUUUGUAACAGGUA